rnacentral:rRNA from 1 species
UUAAGCGACUAAGCGUACACGGUGGAUGCCCUGGCAGUCAGAGGCGAUGAAGGACGUGCUAAUCUGCGAUAAGCGUCGGUAAGGUGAUAUGAACCGUUAUAACCGGCGAUUUCCGAAUGGGGAAACCCAGUGUGUUUCGACACACUAUCAUUAACUGAAUCCAUAGGUUAAUGAGGCGAACCGGGGGAACUGAAACAUCUAAGUACCCCGAGGAAAAGAAAUCAACCGAGAUUCCCCCAGUAGCGGCGAGCGAACGGGGAGCAGCCCAGAGCCUGAAUCAGUGUGUGUGUUAGUGGAAGCGUCUGGAAAGGCGCGCGAUACAGGGUGACAGCCCCGUACACAAAAACAUGCUGUGAGCUCGAUGAGUAGGGCGGACACGUGGUAUCCUGUCUGAAUAUGGGGGGACCAUCCUCCAAGGCUAAAUACUCCUGACUGACCGAUAGUGAACCAGUACCGUGAGGGAAAGGCGAAAAGAACCCCGGCGAGGGGAGUGAAAAAGAACCUGAAACCGUGUACGUACAAGCAGUGGGAGCACGCUUAGGCGUGUGACUGCGUACCUUUUGUAUAAUGGGUCAGCGACUUAUAUUCUGUAGCAAGGUUAACCGAAUAGGGGAGCCGAAGGGAAACCGAGUCUUAACUGGGCGUUAAGUUGCAGGGUAUAGACCCGAAACCCGGUGAUCAGCCAUGGGCAGGUUGAAGGUUGGGUAACACUAACUGGAGGACCGAACCGACUAAUGUUGAAAAAUUAGCGGAUGACUUGUGGCUGGGGUGAAAGGCCAAUCAAACCGGGAGAUAGCUGGUUCUCCCGAAAGCUAUUUAGGUAGCGCCUCGUGAAUUCAUCUCCGGGGGUAGAGCACUGUUUCGGCAAGGGGGUCAUCCCGACUUACCAACCCGAUGCAAACUGCGAAUACCGGAGAAUGUUAUCACGGGAGACACACGGCGGGUGCUAACGUCCGUCGUGAAGAGGGAAACAACCCAGACCGCCAGCUAAGGUCCCAAAGUCAUGGUUAAGUGGGAAACGAUGUGGGAAGGCCCAGACAGCCAGGAUGUUGGCUUAGAAGCAGCCAUCAUUUAAAGAAAGCGUAAUAGCUCACUGGUCGAGUCGGCCUGCGCGGAAGAUGUAACGGGGCUAAACCAUGCACCGAAGCUGCGGCAGCGACGCUGAUGCGUUGUUGGGUAGGGAGCGUUCUGUAAGCCUGCGAAGGUGUGCUGUGAGGCAUGCUGGAGGUAUCAGAAGUGCGAAUGCUGACAUAAGUAACGAUAAAGCGGGUGAAAAGCCCGCUCGCCGGAAGACCAAGGGUUCCUGUCCAACGUUAAUCGGGGCAGGGUGAGUCGACCCCUAAGGCGAGGCCGAAAGGCGUAGUCGAUGGGAAACAGGUUAAUAUUCCUGUACUUGGUGUUACUGCGAAGGGGGGACGGAGAAGGCUAUGUUGGCCGGGCGACGGUUGUCCCGGUUUAAGCGUGUAGGCUGGUUUUCCAGGCAAAUCCGGAAAAUCAAGGCUGAGGCGUGAUGACGAGGCACUACGGUGCUGAAGCAACAAAUGCCCUGCUUCCAGGAAAAGCCUCUAAGCAUCAGGUAACAUCAAAUCGUACCCCAAACCGACACAGGUGGUCAGGUAGAGAAUACCAAGGCGCUUGAGAGAACUCGGGUGAAGGAACUAGGCAAAAUGGUGCCGUAACUUCGGGAGAAGGCACGCUGAUAUGUAGGUGAAGCGACUUGCUCGUGGAGCUGAAAUCAGUCGAAGAUACCAGCUGGCUGCAACUGUUUAUUAAAACACAGCACUGUGCAAACACGAAAGUGGACGUAUACGGUGUGACGCCUGCCCGGUGCCGGAAGGUUAAUUGAUGGGGUCAGCGCAAGCGAAGCUCUUGAUCGAAGCCCCGGUAAACGGCGGCCGUAACUAUAACGGUCCUAAGGUAGCGAAAUUCCUUGUCGGGUAAGUUCCGACCUGCACGAAUGGCGUAAUGAUGGCCAGGCUGUCUCCACCCGAGACUCAGUGAAAUUGAACUCGCUGUGAAGAUGCAGUGUACCCGCGGCAAGACGGAAAGACCCCGUGAACCUUUACUAUAGCUUGACACUGAACAUUGAGCCUUGAUGUGUAGGAUAGGUGGGAGGCUUGGAAGUGUGGACGCCAGUCUGCAUGGAGCCGACCUGAAAUACCACCCUUUAAUGUUUGAUGUUCUAACGUUGACCCGUAAUCCGGGUUGCGGACAGUGUCUGGUGGGUAGUUUGACUGGGGCGGUCUCCUCCUAAAGAGUAACGGAGGAGCACGAAGGUUGGCUAAUCGGUCGGACAUCAGGAGGUUAGUGCAAUGGCAUAAGCCAGCUUGACUGCGAGCGUGACGGCGCGAGCAGGUGCGAAAGCAGGUCAUAGUGAUCCGGUGGUUCUGAAUGGAAGGGCCAUCGCUCAACGGAUAAAAGGUACUCCGGGGAUAACAGGCUGAUACCGCCCAAGAGUUCAUAUCGACGGCGGUGUUUGGCACCUCGAUGUCGGCUCAUCACAUCCGGGCUGAAGUAGGUCCCAAGGGUAUGGCUGUUCGCCAUUUAAAGUGGUACGCGAGCUGGGUUUAGAACGUCGUGAGACAGUUCGGUCCCUAUCUGCCGUGGGCGCUGGAGAACUGAGGGGGGCUGCUCCUAGUACGAGAGGACCGGAGUGGACGCAUCACUGGUGUUCGGGUUGUCAUGCCAAUGGCACUGCCCGGUAGCUAAAUGCGGAAGAGAUAAGUGCUGAAAGCAUCUAAGCACGAAACUUGCCCCGAGAUGAGUUCUCCCUGACUCCUUGAGAGUCCUGAAGGAACGUUGAAGACGACGACGUUGAUAGGCCGGGUGUGUAAGCGCAGCGAUGCGUUGAGCUAACCGGUACUAAUGAACCGUGAGGCUUAACCU